rnacentral:rRNA from 1 species
GAUGAACGCUGGCGGCGUGCCUAAUACAUGCAAGUCGAGCGAACAGAUGAGGAGCUUGCUCCUCUGACGUUAGUGGCGGACGGGUGAGUAACACGUGGAUAACCUACCUAUAAGACUGGGAUAACUUCGGGAAACCGGAGCUAAUACCGGAUAAUAUAUUGAACCGCAUGGUUCAAUAGUGAAAGACGGUUUUGCUGUCACUUAUAGAUGGAUCCGCGCCGCAUUAGCUAGUUGGUAAGGUAACGGCUUACCAAGGCAACGAUGCGUAGCCGACCUGAGAGGGUGAUCGGCCACACUGGAACUGAGACACGGUCCAGACUCCUACGGGAGGCAGCAGUAGGGAAUCUUCCGCAAUGGGCGAAAGCCUGACGGAGCAACGCCGCGUGAGUGAUGAAGGUCUUCGGAUCGUAAAACUCUGUUAUUAGGGAAGAACAAAUGUGUAAGUAACUAUGCACGUCUUGACGGUGCCUAAUCAGAAAGCCACGGCUAACUACGUG